UUUAAUUUUUUAAAAUUUAUUUUAUCAAUAAAAAAAUUUUAUCCAGUUAUUUGUUAAAAAAAGGAAAAACUUUAAAUACCACCCGUGUGGUCUCGCAUUUUCUCACUUUAAUACUCUGUGGUUUAAAGUGUAUCACUCUCAUACCCUGUGGUUUUAUUUUUCUUUUUUCGUUAUCCCCUCCUUUAAUUUUUUUUUUAUUAAAUCACUGACAAAGUUAAAACUAAAAGGUACUAAAGUGAAUAUUCGAUAAACUAAGGUGAAGUAUUUGAUGUUUUUUAUAUAUGAUUCAAUGAAAAGUUAACAGAAUGACUGAUAAAAAGAGAAAAAUAAAAUCGUAAAAUACUAAAUUAAUACAUUUUAAAGUAUAGAGUACUAAAGUGAAAAAAAAUAAAAAA
rnacentral:lncRNA from 1 species